rnacentral:rRNA from 1 species
GGGUUGUGAGGUUAAGCGACUAAGCGUACACGGUGGAUGCCCUGGCAGUCAGAGGCGAUGAAGGGCGUGCUAAUCUGCGAUAAGCGCCGGUAAGGUGAUAUGAACCGUUAUAACCGGCGAUACCCGAAUGGGGAAACCCAGUGUGACUCGUCACACUAUCAUUAACUGAAUCCAUAGGUUAAUGAGGCGAACCGGGGGAACUGAAACAUCUAAGUACCCCGAGGAAAAGAAAUCAACCGAGAUUCCCCCAGUAGCGGCGAGCGAACGGGGAGGAGCCCAGAGCCUGAAUCAGCAUGUGUGUUAGUGGAAGCGUCUGGAAAGGCGCGCGAUACAGGGUGACAGCCCCGUACACAAAAGCGCAUGUGCUGUGAGCUCGAUGAGUAGGGCGGGACACGUGGUAUCCUGUCUGAAUAUGGGGGGACCAUCCUCCAAGGCUAAAUACUCCUGACUGACCGAUAGUGAACCAGUACCGUGAGGGAAAGGCGAAAAGAACCCCGGCGAGGGGAGUGAAAAAGAACCUGAAACCGUGUACGUACAAGCAGUGGGAGCNNGUGACUGCGUACCUUUUGUAUAAUGGGUCAGCGACUUAUAUUCUGUAGCAAGGUUAACCGAAUAGGGGAGCCGGAGGGAAACCGAGUCUUAACCGGGCGUUAAGUUGCAGGGUAUAGACCCGAAACCCGGUGAUCUAGCCAUGGGCAGGUUGAAGGUUGGGUAACACUAACUGGAGGACCGAACCGACUAAUGUUGAAAAAUUAGCGGAUGACCUGUGGCUGGGGGUGAAAGGCCAAUCAAACCGGGAGAUAGCUGGUUCUCCCCGAAAGCUAUUUAGGUAGCGCCUCGUGAAUUCAUCUCCGGGGGUAGAGCACUGUUUCGGCUAGGGGGCCAUCCCGGCUUACCAACCCGAUGCAAACUGCGAAUACCGGAGAAUGUUAUCACGGGAGACACACGGCGGGUGCUAACGUCCGUCGUGAAGAGGGAAACAACCCAGACCGCCAGCUAAGGUCCCAAAGUCAUGGUUAAGUGGGAAACGAUGUGGGAAGGCCCAGACAGCCAGGAUGUUGGCUUAGAAGCAGCCAUCAUUUAAAGAAAGCGUAAUAGCUCACUGGUCGAGUCGGCCUGCGCGGAAGAUGUAACGGGGCUAAACCAUGCACCGAAGCUGCGGCAGNNGUUGGGUAGGGGAGCGUUCUGUAAGCCUGUGAAGGUGGCCUGUGAGGGUUGCUGGAGGUAUCAGAAGUGCGAAUGCUGACAUAAGUAACGAUAAAGCGGGUGAAAAGCCCGCUCGCCGGAAGACCAAGGGUUCCUGUCCAACGUUAAUCGGGGCAGGGUGAGUCGACCCCUAAGGCGAGGCCGAAAGGCGUAGUCGAUGGGAAACGGGUUAAUAUUCCCGUACUUGGUGUUACUGCGAAGGGGGGACGGAGAAGGCUAUGUUGGCCGGGCGACGGUUGUCCCGGUUUAAGCGUGUAGGUGUGUGUUCCAGGUAAAUCCGGUUCACUUUAACACUGAGGCGUGAUGACGAGGCACUACGGUGCUGAAGCAACAAAUGCCCUGCUUCCAGGAAAAGCCUCUAAGCAUCAGGUAACAUCAAAUCGUACCCCAAACCGACACAGGUGGUCAGGUAGAGAAUACCAAGGCGCUUGAGAGAACUCGGGUGAAGGAACUAGGCAAAAUGGUGCCGUAACUUCGGGAGAAGGCACGCUGACACGUAGGUGAAGUGAUUUACUCAUGGAGCUGAAGUCAGUCGAAGAUACCAGCUGGCUGCAACUGUUUAUUAAAAACACAGCACUGUGCAAACACGAAAGUGGACGUAUACGGUGUGACGCCUGCCCGGUGCCGGAAGGUUAAUUGAUGGGGUCAGCGCAAGCGAAGCUCCUGAUCGAAGCCCCGGUAAACGGCGGCCGUAACUAUAACGGUCCUAAGGUAGCGAAAUUCCUUGUCGGGUAAGUUCCGACCUGCACGAAUGGCGUAAUGAUGGCCAGGCUGUCUCCACCCGAGACUCAGUGAAAUUGAACUCGCUGUGAAGAUGCAGUGUACCCGCGGCAAGACGGAAAGACCCCGUGAACCUUUACUAUAGCUUGACACUGAACAUUGAGCCUUGAUGUGUAGGAUAGGUGGGAGGCUUUGAAGCGUGGACGCCAGUCUGCGUGGAGCCGACCUUGAAAUACCACCCUUUAAUGUUUGAUGUUCUAACGUGGACCCGUAAUCCGGGUUGCGGACAGUGUCUGGUGGGUAGUUUGACUGGGGCGGUCUCCUCCUAAAGAGUAACGGAGGAGCACGAAGGUUGGCUAAUCCUGGUCGGACAUCAGGAGGUUAGUGCAAUGGCAUAAGCCAGCUUGACUGCGAGCGUGACGGCGCGAGCAGGUGCGAAAGCAGGUCAUAGUGAUCCGGUGGUUCUGAAUGGAAGGGCCAUCGCUCAACGGAUAAAAGGUACUCCGGGGAUAACAGGCUGAUACCGCCCAAGAGUUCAUAUCGACGGCGGUGUUUGGCACCUCGAUGUCGGCUCAUCACAUCCUGGGGCUGAAGUAGGUCCCAAGGGUAUGGCUGUUCGCCAUUUAAAGUGGUACGCGAGCUGGGUUUAGAACGUCGUGAGACAGUUCGGUCCCUAUCUGCCGUGGGCGCUGGAGAACUGAGGGGGGCUGCUCCUAGUACGAGAGGACCGGAGUGGACGCAUCACUGGUGUUCGGGUUGUCAUGCCAAUGGCACUGCCCGGUAGCUAAAUGCGGAAGAGAUAAGUGCUGAAAGCAUCUAAGCACGAAACUUGCCCCGAGAUGAGUUCUCCCUGAGACUUUAGGUCUCCUGAAGGAACGUUGAAGACGACGACGUUGAUAGGCCGGGUGUGUAAGCGCAGCGAUGCGUUGAGCUAACCGGUACUAAUGAACCGUGAGGCUUAACCUUACAACGCCGAAG